UCCUCCCUCUUUCUUCGUGCUUAACGCAUGCAAGUCGAACGGAAAGGCCCUGCUUUUGUGGGGUGCUCGAGUGGCGAACGGGUGAGUAACACGUGAGUAACCUGCCCUUGACUUUGGGAUAACUUCAGGAAACUGGGGCUAAUACCGGAUAGGAGCUCCUGCUGCAUGGUGGGGGUUGGAAAGUUUCGGCGGUUGGGGAUGGACUCGCGGCUUAUCAGCUUGUUGGUGGGGUAGUGGCUUACCAAGGCUUUGACGGGUAGCCGGCCUGAGAGGGUGACCGGCCACAUUGGGACUGAGAUACGGCCCAGACUCCUACGGGAGGCAGCAGUGGGGAAUAUUGCACAAUGGGCGGAAGCCUGAUGCAGCAACGCCGCGUGCGGGAUGACGGCCUGCGGGUUGUAAACCGCUUUCGCCUGUGACGAAGCGUGAGUGACGGUAAUGGGUAAAGAAGCACCGGCUAACUACGUG
rnacentral:rRNA from 1 species